rnacentral:rRNA from 1 species
UACGUAGGGUGCGAGCGUUAAUCGGAAUUACUGGGCGUAAAGCGUGCGCAGGCGGCUUUGCAAGACAGAUGUGAAAUCCCCGGGCUUAACCUGGGAACUGCAUUUGUGACUGCAUGGCUGGAGUGCGGCAGAGGGGGAUGGAAUUCCGCGUGUAGCAGUGAAAUGCGUAGAUAUGCGGAGGAACACCGAUGGCGAAGGCAGCCCCCUGGGCUAACACUGACGCUCAGGCACGAAAGCGUGGGGAGCAAACAGG